GAUGAAGAACGUAGCGAAAUGCGAUACGUAAUGUGAAUUGCAGAAUUCAGUGAAUCAUCGAGUCUUUGAACGCACAUUGCGCCCUCUGGUAUUCCGGAGGGCAUGCCUGUCCGAGCGUCAUUGCUGCCCUCAAGCACGGCUUGUGUGUUGGGCUCCGUCCCCCGAUCCCGGGGGACGGGCCCGAAAGGCAGCGGCGGCACCGCGUCCGGUCCUCGAGCGUAUGGGGCUUUGUCACCCGCUCUGUAGGCCCGGCCGGCGCUUGCCGAUCAACCAAAUUUUUAUCCAGGUUGACCUCGGAUCAGGUAGGGAUACCCGCUGAACUUAAGCAUAUCAAUAAGCGGAGGA
rnacentral:misc_RNA from 1 species